GGUCUGCAACCCGACCACACGAAGCUGGAAUCGCUAGUAAUCGUGAAUCAGAAUGUCACGGUGAAUACGUUCCCGGGUCUUGUACACACCGCCCGUCACACCAUGGGAGUCAGCAACGCCCGAAGUCAGUGACCUAACCGAGAGGGAGGAGCUGCCGAAGGCGGGGCCGGUAACUGGGGUGAAGUCGUAACAAGGUACC
rnacentral:rRNA from 1 species